UAACUGACUGAGCCAUCCAGGUGCCCCUGUAAUUUCAUAAUUUAAAUACUAGGGGAAAUGUAAAAUGUGUUCUAAUUAUUUAAGUAAAUGAAAGUAGUUUUGUGUGGUUUUACAGUCAUGGGGGGAGAUAAUGAAAUUUUGGACUUAGGGAAGUAAUGGGAUAGAGAUGAGGAGGAAUCUAUAAUGACUGCCUGGUUCCUCACUUGGUUGUAGAGUACAACAGUGGUAUAAUUAACCAGCAUAGAGGCAAAUGGAGGAAGGCUGGGGAUUUUGCUUUAUGUGUAUGUGUGUAUAAGGGCGUGGAAUAGAAAACUGGGAAAGGGGAAGGAGAUAAGACGUUCAGUGAAGACAUAUUUAAUAUGGAAGACUGUCACUGGGAUAUCCAUAUAGAGAAGUUCAGUAGGGAGCUCAGCACGUGCAUUUGAAGCUUAGGAGAAAGGCUGGGGCUAGAAGUGGAGUCACUAAGAAGUGACCACUCAGAAGUGGAUGUUGAAAUUUGGGGGGAACUGGAUGCCAUUCCUCAUAGAGACUGAAUAUAGUGAGAGGAAAUGAGAACUAACAUUAUUAAGUGGGCAGAGUAAGAGAAGGCAGCAAAAAAAAUAUAUUAAGAAUAACUAGCAGAAGGAUGGAAGGGGACACCAACGGAGCUCAAUGUUCUAGAAGCCAAUGGGAGAGAGGAUUCAGGAAAAAAGGAGUUAGGAUUAUCAGAAUAUAAAGACAGGUCAAGUAAAUUGAAACAGAUCAUGGGAUUUGGCAAUUUUGUCAUUAGUAACGUUUGCUAGUGUGCUUUCAAUACAUUCAUUGAUGGUGGCAGAAUUCUGUGUUGGGUUGAAAAUUAUUUUAAAUUGAGAAAAAUUAUAGCAGAUUUAUACUAUUUCAAGGCUCUUCAUUUCUUCUUGAAAACAGAAAUAAAGGAUCAUUGUAGGGAGUAGUUUAUAGAAUUGAGGAGGAGAUUUUACAGUGAAGAGAGUUUAAUAUUUAUAAAAUGUGGGGAGAGUCAGCAGACAGAAGAGAUUAGAAAGAAGGAGGAAUAAAGGUAAAGAAAGAUCUAUAGGAGAUUAGGGAAUGUGGGAUCAGGUGCGCAUUAAAGGAGUUGACCUGGAAGAAAAGGAUACUUCCUCUGAGAUUAGAAGGAAGGAGGUGAAGAUAAUUAAAUGUAUAACUUAUAAAUGUGGAGCAAGAAGGUUAGGAGGUAUGUAGCUUAUAGUUUUGAUUUUUUUUUUUUCUGGUAAAGGAGACAUAAAAGAUAAGGGCAUAGGGGAAGUAGCAAGUUGGAGUUGAAAUAAAGUGGCAUAAAAUAUAUGUCCUAAGGAAUGGGAGAGGGAAUUAGCCAGGGGCAAGGUUAUUAGCAGGAGAGACUGAUGUAUCUGGGAAACUAAGCUAGAUAGGAAAAGAAAUGAAGCUAUGCUGGAGACAGUGGUCUGAAAAAAAGAAAAGGGAAUGGUUGAGGAACAGAAGUUAAAAUAAGGUAAGAAAGCAAGUGUUUAGAGAGGAAGGGAGUGAAAAAAUUGGAAUGAUAGGUGGUGUGGUCACAGAUCAAGAAUAUUGGAGUCUAAGGUUGUGGAACAAUUUCUUGAUGAUCAGAAGGUUGAAGGUGUGGCUCUGGGUAUGGAUCACUGAAUGAAAUGGUUGUAAGCUGGUGGAGUCAGAAUUCAAGGUUGUUGUUGGAUAGGUUGUCCAUAUGGACACUGAACUGGCACAUCAUGGCAGGAAAUGCAGGGGAGACAGAUACUGAAAGCCAAGUGCCAAAGUCCACUAUAAAUAAGAGAGAGUGACUGGGCAAUAAAGUAAUGGGAAUGAAACAGAGGAAUAAAAGGUUUCCAAGAUUGUUCAUUAUAGCCUUUUUCUCUCUCACAAAUUAAGAGUCAUGAGGGCAAGGACUAUGUCUUACAUAAUAUUGCAAAUAUUUGUUGAUUAAUGGAUAAACAAAUGAUGACCUCAUCAUUUUGAACAAAUACUCAUGUUGAAUUAGUAUUUUUGGAAACUUUGGGUUUUUCUUAUUACAAGCAGUUGAUACUAAAGAAUAUACAACAAGAUGAGCAAGAUGUAGAAAAAAAAUUAAUAAUCCAAACCCAGAAAUAACCACUGUUAGCCCCUUUUAUUAAAUUUUCAUACCUGUUUGUUGUUUAUCCUGGCAAUAAAUAUUCAGCUAUAAUAUCCUUUAAUGGCUAAGUAUUCCACAUAAAAUAAGGAUAUACCAUAAUUUAAGUAGUAUCUUAUUUGGGGAUAUUAUAUGUGUUUUUUUCUCUAUUUUUAAAAGGGACAAUCUAACAGUUAAAUUUUUGCUUUAUUUCCUUAGGAUGCAGUCUUAGAAGUGGAUUUUCUGGCAGGGUCUUCAUAGCCAGCUUAUUUUUCUUUGUUUUAGGCCUAUUUCUAACAGACUUGUUAUGUGUAUUCUUAUUCAAUUCUGGAUUGGAUUCAGAAAAUUGGACAGUGUUGCAGGUACUGAAUGACGUGUAGGCAUGCUGAUACCCAUAAAAGUAAGAACUGACUACACUUCAAGAAUGUUAAAGAAAGUCAUUCAGACAGAAAGGAAAUGAUACCGGAUGGAAAUACAGAUCUACACAGAGGAAUGAUGAGCACUGGAAAAGAAAUAAACUUAAAAAAAAAAAAAGUACUCAAUCCAAAAGAAGGCAGAAAAAGGAGAAAAGGAGCAAUGAACAGAUGGAACACAGAACAAAUGGAACAAAUAGAAGUUAGCAAGACGAGGGGGUGCCUGGGUUGGUUGAGUGUCUGACUCUUGACCUUGGCUCAGGUCAUAAUCUCACGAAUGUAUCUUACAGGAGGAAGAUCUUUUUUCAGUUGACUCCAGUGCCUAGCAAAUGUUUGAUACACAAAAGAUGUUUAAUAAGAAUUUGGAUUGGUUCCUGGAAGUGGAACUACUAUAUCAAAGAUUUGGACAUUUUUAAGACCCCAGAAAGGUAAUAUAGUAAUAAAUGCGACUGUAAAUUUUAACACAUUCUUAGCUACACUAGUUAUUAACACUUGCAUUUUCAAUCUUUGUCAGUCUGAUAAUAGGGAGACUCAUUGUGUAAUUUGAUAAAAUUGCAUUUUUGCUCAUAUACUCAUAUUAAUAACUUAACUACCUCAAGGACUUAAUAUUCUUUGUCUUUUCCAUGAUGCUUAUUCAGCUGGUGAAGAAAUGUAUUUUUUAUUGACUUUGGCAGUAUUUCUUUUAAAAUAAAUUAUAUUUUGAACACAUAGAAAGGUGAAGAAAAAUAGCAUAGGGAAGGAUCCAGAUUUAUUUUACUUAGUAAAAAAAGGUAAGAUUGUAUUUAAUUAUUAAUGUAGUGGUAAAUAGAACAUUAUUACUAGAAGCUAGCAAUAUCAUAUUUUAUUUAUUGAAUUUCUUUAUUGAAAUCAUACUGAAUUUAUUGCUUAAUGUGCCAUUUUCACUACAGCACUUUCCAAAAUGCUUACUAAAUGCUUAGCUUAUAAGAUUAAGAAAAACAUUCACUAGAUAACUACUUUGAAAUAAUUGCCCCAACCCUGCUUUCAUUCACGAUGCCUAGAAACAGACUUGCCUACUUUAAUUUUCUUUCAUGUUGUUAUUACUAUGAAGUCAUUUUAUAGAUAGGGUAAUAAGCAUUCUGGCAUAAAGAAAAAUAGCAUCUGUACAACGAUAUGGCACAGUUUGGUUGGGGCUGUUCCUCCUUCAGAACUUCAUUACAUAAUUUGAAAGUGUUUACUUAAGCUCCUUUGGGCUGCCUCCAUGGUAGCUAUGAAGUCACAGAAUUAGGACCAGUUUGGGGCCUGAUAACAACGUCUGUUAGUUUAAUGUGAACACUGUGUCAAUUUUUUUUUUUUUUUAACAUUGCUGUAUAAGAAACUUUAAAA